rnacentral:lncRNA from 1 species
GAGGAUCUUUGUUAAAGCUGAAAACCUUUCCAAAUGCUUAUUCGAGGCAAAUACUAUCAAUUUGAUAGAGAAAAGUCCUGGCUAAAUCAAGCUAUAUCAAGUUCUAAGAAUACUUAUAGAGACAUAAAAAUGCUAUUCUUCUAUAUCAAGUUCUAAGAAUACUUAUAGAGACAUAAAAAUGCUAUUCUUUCACUUGGGAACCAUGAGAGCAUGCCUCUUGCAAAGAGGAUUAACCAUUAGCUUCCCAAACAC